rnacentral:rRNA from 1 species
AUUGAACGCUGGCGGCAGGCCUAACACAUGCAAGUCGAACGAGUGGGGGAAGGGAGAGGAAUGUCUGGGAAACUGCGUGAUGGCGGGGGAGAAACACUGGAGACGGUAGCUAAUAACGCAUUCCAGCAGAUGUGCACAUAUGGGAUUAGCUUGUUGGUGGGGUAACCGCUCACCAAGGCGAAGACCCCUAGCUGGUCUGAGAGGAUGACCAUCCAAACUUGAACGUGGACCCGGUCCAGACUCCUACGGGAGGCAGAAGUGGGGAAUAUUGCACCAUGUGGGCAAGCCUGAUGGAGCCAUGCCGCUUGUAUGAAGAAGGCCUUCGGGUUGGAAAGUACUUUCAGCCGGGAGGCGUUACCCGCAGAAGAAGCACCGGCUAACCCCGUGCCAGCAGCCGCGGUAAUUC